rnacentral:lncRNA from 1 species
UUAAAUAUUCUUUAAUAAUAAUUAAUAUAAAUCUGCUUCAUUAUGAGGAAUCGUGUGAAAUUAAAAAUCUACAGAUUUUUAAUUUCACAAGAUUUUUGUUCAUGUGAAUUGACUCUGGGGUCUUAUUCAAAAAGAAUGAUUUUUGCAGUUCCAGGCUUCAAUCUAGAACAGGGAUUGGCAAACUUUUGAGACGAGCCAAAUCUGCUCCUUACAACAAUUUAAAAAUUAUUCAGUCAUAUUAUAUAAAUGUAUAUGUCUCUUUUUAUACUGUCAAACUGCUCUUUGUGACUUUAAAGAGCUCAAUAAUUUAUAUGUUUAUUCAGUUUGGACAAAAUGUUGAAAAUCACAUUUGAAAUUCAAAUGAUUGCUUGGUGUAUGAAAAUUAACCAAUAUGCAAGCACAGACCAACAUCUUUCUUCUACAAUUACACAUAAUAGUGGACUAAAUGAAAUGUCCAUGAUUUCGUACAAAAUUUGAUUAACAAUUGAGAUGAUAUCAAAUUUUUGCAAAAUUAAUGGAUUUUGCUGCAGGGGGAAUACUUAAAUAAGAUAUCUCAUUAGUUGUAUUGAUGUUAGGAAGUAAAAAAAUUAGUUUUUGAAGUAGGGCAUAUUUCAAAACUAUAACCAUUAUUUUUAUGCAUGUAUUUAAAAUAAUUCUGUCUUUAUAGUAAUAAUAAUUGCCAUGUCACUUUUAUCAACAAUACCUUGAAUUUGUAGUAAAUUUGGAUAUUAAAAUUAAUACAACUUCUGGAUGCACCCAGCUAAAAGGAAAUGCUAAUUUGCAGAAAUGCAAAGCAACAUGGACUCCACAUUUUGUGCAACUAUACAAACUACACAAAAAACAAGAUUCCCGUUUUCACAUUUUGCCAAUGUUGCCUUGCCCAGUAGAGGGCACCUCUUGCACACUUGCUUAUUAAUCACUUUGUUUGUCUGCCUUGACUACCAUGUGCUCAACUAUUCCCUCCACUUUUGCUUUCUCCUCCCUGAUGUCACACUUUGUGCAGUUUUGAGAGACCUAUAAAACGGACUAAAUCACCAUUACGUGAAUAAAAUUCUUUAAAAUUUUAUAAAUGAAACUAUGAUAGUUUAAUUUUACUUUAGAGCUAUAUGUACCCAAA